GCACGAUUACACUCUCGAGAGUUUCGUACAUAAAGUUGAUGAUUACUUAAACAAAAUAAAGAUGUGGGAUUGUCGGUAUAGAACUGAUGAGUACCAGGCCAAACCGUAUAGUUAGUUUUUGAAAGGAUCUUUCAAAGGUUUGGGUAAAGAUCUUUCAAAGCUUUGGGUAAAUGAUGUUUACACGUAAUACACACGGCCAAGGUAAAUAAAUAUCAUUUUUGAACCAAAAAAAAAAAACACACAUUUCAGAUGUCGGCCAAGAAAACAAAAAAAAACAAAAAUAGAGUACGUAGUUAGAUAAUUAGAUAUGUUGAAAUAGCAAGGCGACAAAAGGAAGAAAAAAAAAGAAAGUGUAAAGGGAUUAUAAUGGUGGUGGUGGUGUAGAUAGAUAGAAAGAUGCAGGUCUAUUGUCUUUCCAAAUCCUCUUUUAGUUUGGCC
rnacentral:lncRNA from 1 species